rnacentral:rRNA from 1 species
GAUGAACGCUAGCGGGAGGCUUAAUACAUGCAAGUCGAACGGCAGCAUGGGACUUCGGUCCUGAUGGCGAGUGGCGCACGGGUGAGUAACGCGUACACAACCUACCUAUAACAGGGGGAUAGCCACUGGAAACGGUGAAUAAUACCCCAUAGUAUUACUUUUUUGAUGAUUGAGUAAUUAAAGUUCCGGCGGUUAUAGAUGGGUGUGCGUCCGAUUAGCUAGUUGGUAAGGUAACGGCUUACCAAGGCGACGAUUGGUAGGGGGCGUGAGAGCGUGAUCCCCCACACGGGUACUGAGACACGGACCCGACUCCUACGGGAGGCAGCAGUAAGGAAUAUUGGACAAUGGGGGCAACCCUGAUCCAGCCAUCCCGCGUGUAGGAAGACUGCCCUAUGGGUUGUAAACUACUUUUAGAUAGGAAGAACAGCAGGCACUUGUGCUUGUAUGACGGUACUAUCAGAAUAAGCACCGGCUAACUCCG